CAGUCGCCGCGGUAAUACGAAGGGUGCAAGCGUUACUCGGAACUACUGGGCGUAAAGCGUGCGUAGGUGGUGGUUUAAGUCCGUUGUGAAAGCCCUGGGCUCAACCUGGGAAUUGCAGUGGAUACUGGGUCACUAGAGUGUGGUAGAGGAUAGUGGAAUUUCCGGUGUAGCAGUGAAAUGCGUAGAGAUCGGAAGGAACAUCUGUGGCGAAGGCGACUAUCUGGGACAACACUGACGCUGAGGCACGAAAGCGUGAGGAGCAAACAGGAUUAGAGACCCGCGUAGUCCCUGUCUCUUAUAC
rnacentral:rRNA from 1 species